UGCAGUCGAGCGGUAGAGAGGUGCUUGCACCUCUUGAGAGCGGCGGACGGGUGAGUAAUACCUAGGAAUCUGCCUGGUAGUGGGGGAUAACGUUCGGAAACGGACGCUAAUACCGCAUACGUCCUACGGGAGAAAGCAGGGGACCUUCGGGCCUUGCGCUAUCAGAUGAGCCUAGGUCGGAUUAGCUAGUUGGUGAGGUAAUGGCUCACCAAGGCUACGAUCCGUAACUGGUCUGAGAGGAUGAUCAGUCACACUGGAACUGAGACACGGUCCAGACUCCUACGGGAGGCAGCAGUGGGGAAUAUUGGACAAUGGGCGAAAGCCUGAUCCAGCCAUGCCGCGUGUGUGAAGAAGGUCUUCGGAUUGUAAAGCACUUUAAGUUGGGAGGAAGGGCAUUAACCUAAUACGUUAGUGCUUUGACGUUACCGACAGAAUAAGCACCGGCUAACUCUGUGCCAGCAGCCGCGGUAAUACAGAGGGUGCAAGCGUUAAUCGGAAUUACUGGGCGUAAAGCGCGCGUAGGUGGUUUGUUAAGUUGAAUGUGAAAUCCCCGGGCUCAACCUGGGAACUGCAUCCAAAACUGGCAAGCUAGAGUAUGGUAGA
rnacentral:rRNA from 1 species